AUUGAACGCUGGCGUCAGGCCUAACACAUGCAAGUCGAACGAGUGGCGGACGGGUGAUGAAUGUCUGGGAAACUGCUCGAUGGAGGGGGAUAACUACUGGAAACGGUAGCUGCUACCGCAUACCAUCGGAUGUGCCCAGAUGGGAUUAGCUAGUAGGUGGGGUAACGGCCCACCUAGGCGACGAUCCCUAGCUGGUCUGAGAGGAUGACCAGCCACACUGGAACUGAGACACGGUCCAGACUCCUACGGGAGGCAGCAGUGGGGAAUAUUGCACAAUGGGCGCAAGCCUGAUGCAGCCAUGCCGCGUGUAUGAAGAAGGCCUUCGGGUUGUAAAGUACUUUCAGCGAGGAGGCGUUACUCGCAGAAGAAGCACCGGCUAACUCCGUGCCAGCAGCCGCGGUAAUUC
rnacentral:rRNA from 1 species